AAUUGAGGCGAUUAGGUCGAUACUUAAAGUAGACCUUCUUGUGGCAAUUUUAGGUCGCCUCUGAUUAUUUUGUUUUGAUAUGUAAAUGUACAUUAAAGUUUAUAGGUUUAGUUCCCAAAUCUUAUUUCCCCCAAAAUUCCAUUCGGCCUUUCCCAAGCAAACCCUAUAUCUCUCCCCAAAAUUCCUCCACACAUCGCUUCUCUGUUAAGUUCCAUGGGCGAUUUCCCUUCUCCCUUCAAGCGUCUCUUUUUCUCUCUCUUAUCUUUCUCCUCCAUAUUAUUUGCUCUAAUCUAACCUAAAUCUACCCGACCCUAGUGAAUCAACUCAAUGUGAAGAGAAUUGUAAGAAACGCACAUAGAUUUUCUGCUCUCUGCCUUAAGGCCUACAAUCGUUAGAUUAUGAGCAAAUGGAUUCGGGGGAUGAUUAUUGGGAAUAUUAGGUUUCGGCGACUGAUGCGGAGCUCAUUAAGCGAGCAUGGCGGAAUCAAAAGGCUGCUCGGCUGGUUUGGUUCAGAGAUCUAGAGAAUAGAUUCAAUUAAUGGUUGUUUUUACUAAUAAAAAGGAAAGCUGGAGCUUGCUGGGCAUCUUUGGCUCGUUUUCUUGCUGAAUUUGGACAAUGUGAACUAGGACACCUUCAGAGAUAGCUAAUUGUACACAACAUCAUGUUAGUUUGGCAGGUUCUAGUUUGAACAUUAAUUUCAUGCGCUUGAAUUCCAUUUGACAUAUAAACGGACCAUCCAUAUGUUCACUUUUGCUGAUCAUUAUCAUGUAUGCUUGUACUCUAUACAGUAAAAAGAAAUAGUUGAUCCAUGAGGCGGUUGUCCCCUGAUGCACCUAUUAUUAUUAUUAUUAUUAUCCCAUUUUCAAGUUACAAACUAAAGAUGGUUGCCGCUGCAUUUUCUUUUGCUUCCAUACUUCCAGCUCUGAGAAUAUAUUUACUGGUGCCAUUUGUGAUAAUGAAUAAUGUCUACUUGAAAUUAGAAUCUAGAAGUACAAGUAGAUCAAAUGUAUUUUGCUGCCUAAGGUCCAUUGACCAAAUCAUCUGUCAAUGCUUGACCUUGAAGACAGUUUAGAGAUAAAUUUAAUUUUGAAUACUUUUGUUUAAUGUCUUUACAAUUAGUAUUUUGCAGAUCACCUUUAUAUCUUUGGCAUGUGUUUUUUCAGAACCAAAAUAUGCUAGUGGAAGGUUUUCUUUUUCUUGAGUAGUGGUAUUUAGAAGAUCGAUUCAAUUUUAAAUCUUGGUAUCUAAGUGAAACAGACUCCAGUUUCUUCCUUCUAGAUGGUUUGUUGUUAAGAAGUUACUGACGAAGAAAAGGACAUCAUAACGAACCUCAAUAAAAAACAAAACAUAAAAGAGAGGUACAUAAUAGUUUGAUCUUGAAGGGCCAAAAUGAAGUGUAUUCAAAUAAAGCAGACUUUUGUUUCCUUCUAUUGGUUUGUCUUGGUGCAGCAUUUAUAUGCAUUGAGUUGGUGUUUGAAAGAAUGAAAAUUUCAUUGUGCUAGUUUUUGCUUUUGGAGUUGGCUGGAGGAUGAGUAGAGUAGCCUUUUCCUUGGCCUGUUUUUUUAUGGUUCGGGGUUACUACUAAUAAUAUGAUUUAGUCCAUAAAUAUGUAAUUGUAAUUUCAUCUCUCUAACUAGAUUUUUAUUGUGGCAAAUUGAUGGCUUUACUUAAGGUGAAUGUUUUGCCUUAUAAUACAAAUAUUUGGUAUUUUGUCUCUGCUUCACCUUCUUUGUUUUGGGAAUAUACUCGCUAUCUAAGUUUUUCUUUUUGACAGUUAAAUGCUUAUUAACUUUUACUGGAAACUCUUCCUUGGGAGUUGAUGAAAGUCAAUUGUUUUAGUUAACUGUAUCAUUACAAUAUUGUAAUUUUGGCUUGAAGAAUGCUUCUGGUUCUAGUUGUAUACAGAUGUUCUAGA